CCUACGGGGGGCAGCAGUGGGGAAUAUUGCACAAUGGGGGAAACCCUGAUGCAGCGACGCCGCGUGAAGGAAGAAGUAUUUCGGUAUGUAAACUUCUAUCAGCAGGGAAGAAAAUGACGGUACCUGACUAAGAAGCCCCGGCUAACUACGUGCCAGCAGCCGCGGUAAUACGUAGGGGGCAAGCGGUAACCGGAUUUACUGGGUGUAAAGGGAGCGUAGACGGCUGUACAAGGCUGAAGUGAAAGCCCGUGGCUCAACCGCGGAACUGCUUUGGAAACUGUAAAGCUUGAGUACUGGAGAGGCAGGCGGAAUUCCUAGUGUAGCGGUGAAAUGCGUAGAUAUUAGGAGGAACACCAGUGGCGAAGGCGGCCUGCUGGACAGAAACUGACGUUGAGGCUCGAAAGCGUGGGGAGCAAACAGGAUUAGAUACCCGAGUAGUC
rnacentral:rRNA from 1 species